UACGAAGGGGCUAGCGUUGCUCGGAAUCACUGGGCGUAAAGCGCACGUAGGCGGAUCGCUAAGUCAGGGGUGAAUCCUGGAGCUCAACUCCAGAACUGCCUUGAUACUGGCAAUCUCGAGUCCGGGAGAGGUGAGUGGAACUGCGAGUGUAGAGGUGAAAUUCGUAGAUAUUCGCAAGAACACCAGUGGCGAAGCGGCUCACUGGCCCGGUACUGACGCUGAGGUGCGAAAGCGUGGGAGCAACAGG
rnacentral:rRNA from 1 species